rnacentral:rRNA from 1 species
UACGUAGGUGGCAAGCGUUGUCCGGAUUUACUGGGCGUAAAGGGUGUGUAGGCGGUUGUUUAAGUUUGGUGUGAAAUCUCCCGGCUCAACUGGGAGGGUGCGCCGAAUACUGAAUGACUUCGAGUGCGGGAGAGGAAAGUGGAAUUCCUGGUGUAGCGGUGAAAUGCGCAGAUAUCGGGAAGAACACCCGUGGCGAAGGCGGCACUCUGGGACGGUACUGACGCUGAGACGCGAAAGCGUGGGGAGCGAACAGG